UACGAGGGGGGCAAGCGUUGUUCGGAAUUAUUGGGCGUAAAGGGCGCGUAGGCGGUGCGGUAAGUCUGAUGUGAAAUCUCCGGGCUCAACUCGGAGUCUGCAUCAGAAACUGCCGUGCUCGAGUGUGGGAGAGGUGAGUGGAAUUCCCGGUGUAGCGGUGAAAUGCGUAGAGAUCGGGAGGAACACCAGUGGCGAAGGCGGCCAUCUGGAUCAACACUGACGCUGAGGCACGAAAGCGUGGGGAGCAAACAGG
rnacentral:rRNA from 1 species